rnacentral:rRNA from 1 species
UACGAAGGGGGCUAGCGUUGCUCGGAAUCACUGGGCGUAAAGGGUGCGUAGGCGGGGUUUUAAAUCAGGGGUGAAAUCCUGGAGCUCAACUCCAGAACUGCCUUUGAUACUGAAGAUCUUGAGUCCGGGAGAGGUGAGUGGAACUGCGAGUGUAGAGGUGAAAUUCGUAGAUAUUCGCAAGAACACCAGUGGCGAAGGCGGCUCACUGGCCCGGUACUGACGCUGAGGCACGAAAGCGUGGGGAGCAAACAGG